GCAAUUUUCGCGGGAUUAGAAAUGUGUUCGUGAUUAUAAAUGUUAUAAAAUAUGUUCAUAUUUUGUUAUCAGCUCUGCAAAGAAAUGAACUGGAGACAUUACAACUGCUGUAGCCCGUUUUGCUGUAGCUCUGCAAAGAAAUAAACUGGAGACAUUACAACUGCUGUAGCCUGGUUUGCUGUAGGCUUUCAUUUAUCAACUUUCAACAAUGUCGUCCUACUUGAUACAGAAUCACCUCCUCUUGAAUAGCUUCCUUUGAGUGUAUCGAGCAGCGAAGGCGCCGUAUUAGAGUGGUUGAAUUGUUUCGCACGUUGAAAGGACAAUCGUUGCAGAAGGUACUCUUCUCGAUUUAUCCGAUGGGCGAAUGCAUCCAAUUCCAGGAAAAAUCGCAAGCUUUCAGGUAAUUUUUGUAAUCGAUGCGGCAAGAUAACAUAACAGAGGGUUAAACUCGAUGUAACGGGUGAUAGGUGGAAUGUUAAAGAUGGCUAUUGUAGUAUCCGGGCCUCUUAUUACCAAGAUUAAGGAGUCGUGGAGGUAAAGCGGUUAAUUAUGGAUCCGAGGAUCGGGGGUUCGAAUCCCCGUGCCUUGUAUUUUUCGUUUAGACUCUUACGCUAUUAGGCGGAGGAUGAUACAAACCUUGGACGACAGGAGUGUGUAUAGUCAAUGGAAGAACGAAAUGAGAGGAAUAGUCGAAGACUGGAUGUAAGAGUAAUAAAAGCAGAGAAUAGACACUCAAGCGACGCGACGAAAUGCAGCUACGUGAACUUGGCACCCGACUUUUCACAAAUUAAUUCUUUUUUAUAGAAAACGAUAGUAUUUCGUUUGUACCUGAUUGUACCUCCAAUAGUUUCGUUUGUAUCUCCAUCAAUUAAUAUUAAUAUUAAUUGCUAUAAAAUUUAAACUAUCGAGGUACAAACGAAACGAAAAGCGGUACAAACGGAUACAAACGAUUCUAAAGAAUCGGGAAGAAACAGAUUUGAAAUAUGUUGAAAAUGAACGAACUUCACUCUUGCGCGGAUCAACAAUUGCUUGGACAAAUUUAAACUAUCGAGGUACAAACGAAACGAAAAGCGGUACAAACGGAUACAAACGAUUCUAAAGAAUCGGGAAAAACCGAUUUCAAAAAUCUCGAUGUCGGGUGCUGACCAUUUUUUGAAUUUUGUUUAAUUAUUAAUUGGUGGAGGUACAAACGAACCUAUUGGAGGUACAAUCAGGUACAAACGAAAUGCUAUCGUUUUCUAUAAAAAAAAAUUAAUUUUUGAAAUGUCGGGUGCCAAGUUCACAUAGCUCCGAAAUGCGAGGUGAAAGUAUCUCGUCUCGUGAACUCCGAAGGGUGGUUUUAUUCCCUAAAUACGAAGACACAGGCGAAUGUAAAAAGAAUCACGGUAGCGAACGGAGGCGAUCGCCGCAAAGAUUCUCCUCGCGAAUCCAGCUGCAGUAAUUCUAGGAUUACUUCCAUAACUUUGGAAAAAAGAGAAGUAUUUACUCCUGUACGCAACAGCGUUACGUAGCUGCACUUUCUUCCCUGAAGAAGUGGAGCAGAUGAGCUGAAGAGGAUGAUUUAAUCUGUCUCGCACCAGGCCACUCGGCCCCGAGGCAAGAUCCGCGCAUAACCAGCCCGUUUAGAUUCCCAACACGAUUAGCUAAUCGCCAUUAACGAUUUACCGUGGAUUACGCCUGCGGUCGCGGUUCACCCUAUUAAUAUUGUUGCAUAAUCACGCAUUUGCGCCACACUUACCCGCGACGAAUGUGUAGCAUUUUGCGAAUAAUCGGACAUUCCGGCGAUGCCGCGGUUUUUCUAUUUUCCCGAGAGAAAGAAACUUUUUUUUGUUUUUAACGUUAAAGCUUCGAGCCUUUCUUCUUCGAUUCUUUCUUUCGAGGUACCAUUAGCAUUUCUAAUUUCGAGUACAGUUUCAACUUCGCCAUUCCUAUUUUUAUACGAAAGUUCAACUUGAACGUUUUUCAUUGAUUCUACAAUGAAAAUUCUACACUCGUCCAUCGAGCACAUCUCGCACAUCCAUUAGGAUCCAAGGAACGUUGCGUUGUCCGGCAUUCCUGAUUUCAUACGUGACAGACGUUUUCACAGAUUGCACGUGCUCCCCACGCUACAGCCUUUAGAAAAUCAGGCUACUUCGUCCGCCUCGGCGUUUCAUAGCAACUGCAACAGUAUUUCAUGAUGAAAGUCUCUUCCUUUUCAGCGGUGCACAAAACCGAUAAAAACCGAAGAAAAUUGUAAAUAAACGAAACAACGUUUAUCGCUACUUUUUGCCUGACAAAUCCAAAUUUCGUGAAAUUUUGGUCUCCACGAAGAUGCAACGCGACCAACAACGAAAAAGGUUGCGCACCGCUGCCUUAAAUCAUUAAUCUCUCCUUUAAAAAGUGCUCGCGCCAGUCGCUGACGGCGAUGAGCUUUAGCAACUAUGAAAUACUGUUGCAAACUAUCCAUUAUGUUAGGGAAUUUGUCUUAGAAAAAAUACUACACAACAUCUCCGCCUACCGUAUCCUCAUCAAACAAAGAAAAACGUUUCGUUGUUGCCUCUUAUUUCCUUGGAUUUAAUUUCCAAAGAUUUAAUUCCGCGGCAACGUGGCUGCUUAGUCCUCUCGAUUUUUUUUAUUGUACGGUUCUUACGCAAUUUCAAUAGGAAAGGCGAAUAGAAAGAUCGAACCGAGAUGCUUCCCUAUCUCCUAAUAGCUUCUCUACAUUAUAGCGAGCACGUUAGCGUUUCAUCACCGUUGCAACGCCGAAGGAGUGGUUACUAUUGCGUGUCGCAACCGAGUUAGGGUGCUUCAGGCACAUAAAUUUGCUUAAUAAUAGUACGAAACGAACAGUUAAGCCGUGGUCACUGUUCUCGUUUAAACGAUGCUCAACCCUGUUCGAUUCUUUCUAAACGACCCACCUGCGAGCUAUUAUGAAAGCUUGCGUCCUCUAAAAGCAAACACCGCCGUGCAACAGUGUCUUCUUGCAGCAAGGCUCUAACCUGAAUCGUUCUCAAGUCGUUUUACGAAUUAAAAUUCAGAUGGCUCGAGUGGAAAGUAACAUGAUCUGAGAUGUGGAAUACAACAAUAAAAGUCGUCGACACGUUCGAAGCUCGUUGAUAAACAUUAGACAAUAUACGAAUUGUACAAUAAACGCAAGUUCACUUCCGAGCUUUGAUGGUGGUCGCCGAAAUUGUUCCCUCCACCUGGCGAACCCUGAUUGUUAUUGCCAGCAUAAUUCCCUGGAACUCCGUAUUGAGUGUUUAACUGA